AGCAACUCCACAUGCCAGAGUAAAGGGGCCAAUGCAUCUCUGCAGGGCUCGCAAGGGAGAUAAUGUACAAACCCAUUUUGUAACCUGAGCACAUCCCCCACCUCAAGGGUGACAUUGAAGUUGGAGGAGAGGGAGACAGACAGAAACAGAGAAAGAGGAUUUCUUUUUUUUUUUUGUUUUUUUUUUUUUGGAGAAAAGUUGCAGGACUGCUGUGGAGGGGAAGAGAAGUCUGCCCCUCAAACCAAGUGAUUAGGGCAUUUAGAGACCACUUGGAGCAUGUGAUAGACAUAAUAGCCUGGUGCCGGACCCAUGUGGAUAAAGGUACUACAGGCAAGAGGCUGGCUGGCGAGUGGCUUGGCAUAGCGAGCAGAGAGAAUCUGUGCGGGCAGUGGCUACACUCUCAUGAUGGUACAGCCAAAAUGCUGAGCCUGGAAUAGGGACGUCUGGCCAUGCAGACUGCUUGGAGGAAACGUGGGACCCCAGCAGGACUCUGUGUGUGUGGACCAAAGGAUACCCUGGAGCUGAGGGAGGGUGGUCAGCAGGCAGUCUGUAUCAAGGCAACUGCCCUCAGCGUUCGACAGAGGCAUCGCCAAGGAACGCAUGUGAGAUCCAGGAAAAGGAAGUCAGUGGGAAACACCCACCAGAAAACACCAGCACUAUGCCACGCGGCUCCAGUCGGAACGGAGCAUCGGGUCACUGAAGGUCAGGGUGUUGGUGGGUAAGUAUGUCAGAGGAAGACAAGGACAUGCGUGAGACGCAAGCACCCUGAGGGCCAGAGAAUCCACCCCUGCUGGGAGUGAAGUGAAGACACGAGUGGGAUGAGAGACACCAGAUUUCAGGGCCAGUGCAACAAAGAGCCUGGCAGCCUUGGUAUCCUGUAGUAGCCUCCCAACUCCUUCAGGUGAGGCCCAGGGAAUAAGGCAGACAGCCAAGGGCCUCCGGGCCCCUCCAGCUGUGGUGGCAAAGACCUGAGACCCAGAGGAUGCCAGGGAACCCCAGCCAGAGACCUGCCCUCAGAGCAAAAUGGGCUCAAGACAGUAAAACCAGAAGUUGAAUUCUCUUGACUAUGUAAACCGAAGUACAAAUGAUGGGGAGCUUCCUGAGCAAGGGGUGUCCUGCUAACCUGUGUGUGAGGCUG